UACUCGAGUGGCGAACGGGUGAGUAACACGUGGGUGAUCUGCCCUGCACUCUGGGAUAAGCCUGGGAAACUGGGUCUAAUACCGGAUAGGACCAUGCUUUAGUGUGUGUGGUGGAAAGUUUUUUCGGUGUAGGAUGAGCCCGCGGCCUAUCAGCUUGUUGGUGGGGUAAUGGCCUACCAAGGCGGCGACGGGUAGCCGGACUGAGAGGUUGGUCGGCCACAUUGGGACUGAGAUACGGCCCAG
rnacentral:rRNA from 1 species